AGUGAACGUUGGCGGCGUGGAUUAGGCAUGCAAGUCGAGCGAGAACCGUAGCAAUACGGGGACAGCGGCGAAAGGGACAGUAAUGUGUAGGUACCUACCUCCGGGUUCGGGAUAGCUGCGGGAAACUGCAGGUAAUACCGAAUAACGUCUCCGGACCAAAGGUGUGAUUCCACCUGGAGAGGGGCCUGCAUCCUAUUAGCUUGUUGGCGGGGUAACGGCCCACCAAGGCGACGAUGGGUAGCGGGUGUGAGAGCACGACCCGCGUCAUUGGGACUGAGACACUGCCCAGACACCUACGGGUGGCUGCAGUCGUGGAUCUUCGGCAAUGGGCGAAAGCCUGACCGAGCGACGCCGCGUGCGGGAUGAAGGCCUUCGGGUUGUAAACCGCUGUCGUAGAGGAGGAAAUGCAGGGGGGUUCUCCCUUCUGUUUGACCUAUUCUAGGAGGAAGGACGGGCUAAGUUCGUGCCAGCCGCCGCUGUAA
rnacentral:rRNA from 1 species